rnacentral:rRNA from 1 species
CAAUAGCGUAUAUUUAAGUUGUUGCAGUUAAAAAGCUCGUAGUUGGAUUUCGGAUGGGACUUGCCGGUCCGUCGUUUCGAUGUGCACUGGCCAGUCCUAUCUUGUUGUCGGGGACUAGCUCCUGGGCUUCACUGUCCGGGACUAGGAGCUGACGAGGUUACUUUGAGUAAAUUAGAGUGUUCAAAGCAAGCCUACGCUCUGAAUACAUUAGCAUGGAAUAACACGAUAGGACUCUGGCUUAUCUUGUUGGUCUGUGAGACCAGAGUAAUGAUUAAGAGGGACAGUCGGGGACAUUCGUAUUUCAUUGUCAGAGGUGAAAUUCUUGGAUUUAUGAAAGACGAACUUCUGCGAAAGCAUUUGUCAAGGAUGUUUUCAUUA